AGUGAACGCUGGCGGUAGGCCUAACACAUGCAAGUCGAACGGCAGCACAGUAAGAGCUUGCUCUUACGGGUGGCGAGUGGCAGACGGGUGAGGAAUACAUCGGAAUCUACUUUUUCGUGGGGGAUAACGUAGGGAAACUGACGCUAAUACCGCAUACGACCUACGGGUGAAAGCAGGGGAUCUUCGGACCUUGCGCGAUUGAAUGAGCCGAUGUCGGAUUAGCUAGUUGGCGGGGUAAAGGCCCACCAAGGCGACGAUCCGUAGCUGGUCUGAGAGGAUGAUCAGCCACACUGGAACUGAGACACGGUCCAGACUCCUACGGGAGGCAGCAGUGGGGAAUAUUGCACAAUGGGCGCAAGCCUGAUCCAGCCAUACCGCGUGGGUGAAGAAGGCCUUCGGGUUGUAAAGCCCUUUUGUUGGGAAAGAACAGCAGCAGGUUAAUACCCCGCUGUUCUGACGGUACCCAAAGAAUAAGCACCGGCUAACUUCGUG
rnacentral:rRNA from 1 species